rnacentral:rRNA from 1 species
CCUACGGGUGGCAGCAGUCGAGAAUCAUUCACAAUGGGGGAAACCCUGAUGGUGCGACGCCGCGUGGGGGAAUGAAGGUCUUCGGAUUGUAAACCCCUGUCAUGUGGGAGCAAAUUAAAAAGAUAGUACCACAAGAGGAAGAGACGGCUAACUCUGUGCCAGCAGCCGCGGUAAUACAGAGGUCUCAAGCGUUGUUCGGAAUCACUGGGCGUAAGGCGUGCGUAGGCUGUUUCGUAAGUCGGGUGUGAAAGGCGCGGGCUCAACCCGCGGACGGCACAUGAUAAUGCGAGACUAGAGUAAUGGAGGGGGAACCGGAAUUCUCGGUGUAGCAGUGAAAUGCGUAGAUAUCGAGAGGAACACUCGUGGCGAAGGCGGGUUCCUGGACAUUAACUGACGCUGAGGCACGAAGGCCAGGGGAGCGAAAGGGAUUAGAUACCCUGGUAGUC